rnacentral:lncRNA from 1 species
CCAAGGACAAGGGAGGAUAUAAUAUGGAUGAGAAGCUACAAACAAAAAGAAAUAGAGGAGCAAUGGGGAACAAGUGUAAACACAUUCAAACACACCCAAAACCUCUAAUUCAAUCCUCUUCUUGACUCCAUUAUUCAAUUUUUUUUUUCAUUUUUCACUGUUUUUUUUUUUGUUUUUUUUUUAUCCUGUCUCUUUCUUUCUUUCUUUUUUCUGUUUUUUUUCCUGAACAAAACUGUAAGAGACAGGAUGCCCACAUAUAUACAAAAACAAACAAGAAGAGGAACCAACUAACCAAUUCAUCAGAAUUCCC